rnacentral:lncRNA from 1 species
CAGCCCACCCGCGCCGCAGCCGGAGGAGGGGCGCUCUCCUCGCGCGCCGGCCGCCGGCGAUCCCGAGUUCCGGGUGCCGCGCGACCCCGCCGCCACUGUGAGGCGCCCCCGCGGGGAUCCCGGAGGCCAGUAGGGGAGAGGCCGAGCGAGGUUGCACCUGCCCCCCCCCCCGCCGCCCCGAGUCCGCGAGAGGUCUGGGGGCCUCGCCCGCAGCCCCACUCCUCUCCGGCUGGCCCACGGAGGAGACCUGGAGGCCUCCGCGGCGGAAGCAGUGGGCAGUGGGAGAGGCUGGGGCGCCUGUGCCGGGGUGCGGGAGCUGCGGGCCAAGCGAGCAUCAAAACUCAGGCCGUGCGGGUCCCCGCUUCCGGAGCCGCCGGGGGACUCGGGCGGGGCCGGCGCCAGCGAGGUCGCCGUGGUUGGAGGUGGCGGGGAAGGUGCGGGCCUCGCUUCCUGAGAGAACUCCCUCCGGGUUAACUGCUAGAGAGGGCUCGCUGGGUUUUCUCCGGAGUUUGGACUUUGGUACUUUCAUCGAGAUUUUCCUCCCGGGGGGCAUCUCACAGAGUCACAAAUGGCAUCUGUGGGAGGCCGAUGGUGGCCCCUAAAGAUAUCCGGUCCUAAUCUGUGAAACCCAUGGAUGUUACAUUACACGGUGAAGACUUUUCAAAGGUGAUUAAGUUAAGGGUCUUGAGGUGGAGAGAUUAUCCUGGAUUAUCCCUGGGGUCCUGAAUACCAUUAUAUGUACCUGAAAAUAUGAGGGAGACUGAGGGAGGUUUUGUGGCACACACAGAAGAGAAGAUGGAAAGAUGGAGCACAGAAAGAUUGGAAGGUGCUGAAAGUAAAGAGUCCUUAAACAUGGGAACAAUCCAGCCAUAAGCCACAGCACUGAGGUUACCAAAGCUGAAGAGGCCAGGAGUAUGUUCUCCCUGGAGCUGCUGGGACAGGAGGGGCCUUGAUUCAGGCUCAGUGAAGCGGAGGUGGAACUUCUCACCUCCAGAAGUGUCAGAGAAUAAAUUUGUGUUGCUCUAAGCAAAGUUGUGGUCGCUUAUUACAGUAGCCCCAGGCCAUACUUGUGGGUAAAAUGAAAGCCUGAGUCUAGAAGACAGUUGAGGUAAGUAGAGUCACAGAUACCUGAGCAACUUGAUUUCUCCAUUCACUUGGGAAAUGUCUGUUGAGCUCCAGGCACAGGAGGUAAGAGUAAAGCAGACACUGUCCCUACUAACACUACAGUGCGAAGCAGCAGGUAAGUAAAAAAUAUAAAGAAGUGAUUUUAGUUAUAGAUAAGUGCUUUCAAGAGAAUAAAAUAAGGCAAUGUGGAGUUGGUGGGAAUAGAAAGGCCUUUAUGUUACCAUAUUAUGAGAGCUGAAUCCAAAUAUCAAGAAGGAAUUACCAUCUAGAGAAGGAGCUUUCCAAGGGGAGGGAGCUGCUAGUGCAAAGGCCCUGGGGUGGGAAUGAAUGUGCCUGAGAAACAAGCAGAAGGACUAGUGUGAUGGUUCAUUUUGAUUGUCAACCUGAUUGAAUGGAGAACUGCCUAGGAAAUUAAUAAAGCACAGUCCGGUGUGUCUGUGAGAUGUUUCCAGAGACCUUUGGCAUGUGGGACAGUAAACUGAGCCGGGGUGGGGGGGGGCCUGUGUAGCACCAUCCAACAGGCUGGGGAACCAGGUGGAACAAAAGGGGAAAAAGAUGGAGGUACACCAGCACAGUCACUCGUGUUCUCUCUCUCUCUCUCUCUCUCUCUCUCUCUCUCUGUCUCUUUUUCCUGGCUGCUGUGAGGUGAGCAGCUUUCCUCCACCAGACCCUUCGACCAUGAUGUCCCUGCUAACAAUGGGGCCAGAUGAACAGUGACCUUUGACCACAAGUCAAAAUUAACCUUUCCUCCUUUAAGUGGUUUGUCUCAGGUAUUUUGUCACAGCAACAGAAAGCUGACUAACACAACCAGAUUUCUCCAAAUCCAUGUAGAAAGAAAGUGCCCAUGGAAGGCUCAGGGGUCUGUCUUGGGCCCUCUGCUGUAACUAAAUUGGACAUAAAUAAGAUAUCUUAUUUACCAUAAAGUAAACAUAAAGCUUCUGGUUAAGACUUGUACAAUAUUUGGUUAGAGUCAGGGGUUAGGUUUUAAAAUACCUUAACAGAUUUGCACAGAACUCCCCAAAUGAGAUUCAACUGGGACAAACUGUGACUUAGGAUUCAACCAAAUGAUUUCCCUAAGUCAGAAAGGGACCCCUCCUUGAAUGUGGUACUUGGGCAGACCUAGAGCUCAACAUCAGCAAAAAUCUGAUAAGGCUCAAAAAUGGUGAAGCACUUUUACAAACAUUGUAACAUUUGGGGUACAAUUCAAGGUUGGGGAGAAGUAGCCAGGAGAUUGUUUCCGAAGUACUGAGUGGGCACCAGAUUGUAUGUGACCAUAGGAACAAUUCAUUUGUUCACUUGCCCGCUCAAUAAAUGUUUAAUGAGCAGCCCUGCCACUGACUGGGCUUAGGGAGAUGACAGCAACCGGGGUGGAAACACUUGCUGACCUCAUAGAGCUUCUUCUGGAUAGACAUGGCAGACUUAAUUGGGUAAUUAUUGUCUUUUUUACUGUAUUCGAUUUUUUCAGAUGAUAAAAUUAUUUUAUAGUAAUAAAACAGCAAAAUCAAAUACUAUGGAAAUAGAUAACAUAGAAAAGAAAAAUGCUCUAGCAACCCAUUCCCCUGACUAUCCUGCAUGAAUACAAAGAAAUCUACUUCAUUCCUUUUAAAAGCUGAAUAAUAUUCCAUGCUAUGAAUGUGCUGCAGUUUAACUAGUCUCUUACUGAUACAUAUGGAUAUUACUUCCAGUUUUCACAAUUAUAAACUAUGUUGCAAAAAAAUUAUUCUACAUAUAUUUUUUACAUAGCUUAUGAGUAUGUAAAGGACCAAAGAGUAUGAAUAAGUUAAAUCAAGAUACUACCAUACCUCUUACCAUUCGGGGUGGACCUGAAUGAGAGUAUACAGGAAAGAGCAUGUUCCCUUGUAGCCUCAGCAGUGCUGGAUGUUAUCAAUAAUUUUAAUGUUUGCCUGUCUGAUAGGCAGCAGACCGUAAUAUCUUGCCAUUGUUUAAAUGAACCCUUUGGACCUACAGUGGAGAUAACAAUUAAGCAGGGAUGGGCAGGGAAUUGCACAGAGACCUCGUUAAUGAGGCUGGAGCUGCCAAGCUAUCAAGUUGCUCUGCAGGUGCAGGCAGGGUGACCAGGCAGUGCCUGAGCUUCCAGGCAGUGCCUGAGCCCUCCUUUCCAGAAGCCUGAUAAAUGCCCCAGCAGAGAGUAAGGGAGAGGGAAGCGGGAGGCGGGGCCAAACCUCACAGGGCCCGUGGUUCACCUUACCGGGUUUGGUUUUUAUUCCAGGAGAAGAGAGGAGCCAGGAGAAGAGAGGAGCCAGUGGAAGGUUCACACUGUGUUGCAUGGGCAGGCUGACACUUUGCACAGACUCCUCUGGCUGCCGUGCAGGGAGCGGACUGGGGAGAGCAGAGAGAGGGGCAGAUGGGAGCACGUGGGAGCUAUGUUGGGAGUCCAGGGAGGAGUGGUGGUGUCCGGGACUGGGUGGGAGGCCAGGGCUGGCAUGGAAUAGACAGACUGAAGAGUUAUUCAGGCCACAGACUGAUAGGAGGGGCUUGGGUGGGGAGUGAGGAACAGUGGCCAACUGGAUGGCAGAUGGAAUGGGAAUGGGUAUGAGACAGAUGUCAGAAGAGCAGGCGAUGGUUUUCCUGGACAGUGGAGCCCAGAGGAGAGCCCUGCUCCAGAGCAGCCGCCCAGCUCCUGGCCACAAUGCCCACGGCCCACUCAAGGCAGGCUGCCAGGGAUUCACAGCCUGACCACAGUGACCGCACUGAGAGAGCAGCUGAGCCGUGGCCAUGACGGAGUCUGCUGUGAAAGCCUGCCUGGGAAGGGAACAGUGCCGCUGGGGCUGAGGAGACCUCUUGCGUGGAGUUUGAAGGAGAGCACAAGUGAGUGGGAGCAUUUGGUCCCAAGAAAGGCUGCAAAAGAGAGGCAGGACUUGGAAGUCAGGAGGGAGCCUCGGUCACGAGGCGGGGGGCGGAGCACAGGAGCUGCGGGGCUGAAGGCCCUCCAAGCACUGAAGAGGGGGGGCCGUGCCCGUCCCUGAGCGAGCCGGGCUUUCAAGCUGAGCAGAUCUGAGUGAUUUCCUGCUCAACACUGUCAGCUGGGUGACUUUGAACAAGUCAUUGAGCGUCUCUAAGAUUGUUCUUGUCAUAG